GGGGGCGCAACGGAUUCGACGGGAAGGAACAAGACAAAGAGGCAUACCGGGGGUCAUGCACCCGAAAUCGCGUGAACCAAAACUUAACUGCCAAUACUGAAUUGGCUUUCGCUGCUUAAUAAGUAGCGCGUCGUCUCCUGUUGGCCCGCCAGCAAGAAAACGGCGUCACUAAUGCGGGCUGGCUCUUCUUUUUCGGUCCGGAAAGGAGGGGCGAGAUCCAUCGGGCUAGUGAUCGGCAAUUCUUGUCAGUUCGACGUUGCCGGUUGCGAAGCAAAUCGAACUGACUAAGUAUGUAGGCUCUUCGCCAGGAACCUUUUCGGACGGGGGUUCAACUCCCCCCGCCUCCACCA
rnacentral:tmRNA from 1 species